rnacentral:rRNA from 1 species
CGUAGGGAGCAAGCGUUGUCCGGAUUCACUGGGUGUAAAGGGUGCGCAGGCGGAUUUGUAAGUCAGAGGUGAAAUCUCACGGCUUAACCGUGAAACUGCCUUUGAUACUGCAGAUCUUGAGUUUGGGAGAGGUUGAUGGAAUUCCAGGUGUAGCGGUGAAAUGCGUAGAUAUCUGGAAGAACACCAGUGGCGAAGGCGGUCAACUGGCCCAUAACUGACGCUCAGGCACGAAAGCGUGGGUAGCAAACAGGAUUAGAUACCCUGGUAGUCCACGCCUUAAACGAUGAAUACUUGGUGUUGGUUCUUAAUGAAUCAGUGCCGGAGGUAACCUGGUAAGUAUUCCACCUGGGGAGUACGCUCGCAAGGGUG